rnacentral:rRNA from 1 species
CAGCAGCCACGGUAAUACAGAGGGUGCGAGCGUUAAUCGGAUUUACUGGGCGUAAAGCGUGCGUAGGCGGCUAAUUGAGUCGGAUGUGAAAUCCCUGAGCUUAACUUAGGAAUUGCAUUCGAUACUGGGAAGCUAGAGUAUGGGAGAGGAUGGUAGAAUUCCAGGUGUAGCGGUGAAAUGCGUAGAGAUCUGGAGGAAUACCGAUGGCGAAGGCAGCCAUCUGGCCUAAUACUGACGCUGAGGUACGAAAGCAUGGGGAGCAAACAGGAUUAGAUACCCGCGUAGUCCCUGUCUCUUAUAC